CAACCCUCAAGCCCGGCUUGGUGUUGGGGCCCUACGGCUGCCGUAGGCCCUGAAAGGAAGUGGCGGGCUCGCUACAACUCCGAGCGUAGUAAUCUAUUAUCUCGCUAGGGAGGUUGCGGCGGCCCCUGCCGUUAAAGACCAUCUUUAACCAAA
rnacentral:misc_RNA from 1 species